rnacentral:rRNA from 1 species
UACGGAGGGGGCUAGCGUUGUUCGGAAUUACUGGGCGUAAAGCGCACGUAGGCGGCUUUGUAAGUUAGAGGUGAAAGCCCGGGGCUCAACUCCGGAAUUGCCUUUAAGACUGCAUCGCUAGAAUUGUGGAGAGGUAAGUGGAAUUCCGAGUGUAGAGGUGAAAUUCGUAGAUAUUCGGAAGAAACACCAGUGGCGAAGGCGACUUACUGGACACAUAUUGACGCUGAGGCACGAAGGCCAGGGGAGCAAACGGG